rnacentral:rRNA from 1 species
CGAAGGCUUCGGCCUUAGUGGCGCACGGGUGCGUAACGCGUGGGAAUCUGCCCUCAGGUACGGAAUAACUCAGGGAAACUUGAGCUAAUACCGUAUAAUGACUUCGGUCCAAAGAUUUAUCGCCUGAGGAUGAGCCCGCGUCGGAUUAGCUUGUUGGUGAGGUAAAAGCUCACCAAGGCGACGAUCCGUAGCUGGUCUGAGAGGAUGAUCAGCCACACUGGGACUGAGACACGGCCCAGACUCCUACGGGAGGCAGCAGUGGGGAAUAUUGGACAAUGGGCGAAAGCCUGAUCCAGCAAUGCCGCGUGAGUGAUGAAGGCCUUAGGGUUGUAAAGCUCUUUUACCCGGGAUGAUAAUGACAGUACCGGGAGAAUAAGCCCCGGCUAACUCCGUGCCAGCAGCCGCGGUAAUACGGAGGGGGCUAGCGUUGUUCGGAAUUACUGGGCGUAAAGCGCACGUAGGCGGCUUUGUAAGUUAGAGGUGAAAGCCCGGGGCUCAACUCCGGAAUUGCCUUUAAGACUGCAUCGCUAGAAUUGUGGAGAGGUAAGUGGAAUUCCGAGUGUAGAGGUGAAAUUCGUAGAUAUUCGGAAGAACACCAGUGGCGAAGGCGACUUACUGGACACAUAUG